GACCGGGAUAACCCUGGGAAACUGGGGAUAAUACUGGAUAGGCAAUUUUUCCUGUAAUGGUUUUUUGUUUAAAUGUUUUUUCGCCUAAGGAUGGGUCUGCGGCCGAUUAGGUAGUUGGUUAGGUAAUGGCUUACCAAGCCGUUGAUCGGUACGGGUUGUGAGAGCAAGAGCCCGGAGAUGGAACCUGAGACAAGGUUCCAGGCCCUACGGGGUGCAGCAGGCGCGAAACCUCCGCAAUGUGAGAAAUCGCGACGGGGGGAUCCCAAGUGCCAUUCUUAACGGGAUGGCUUUUCAUUAGUGUAAAAAGCUUUUGGAAUAAGAGCUGGGCAAGACCGGUGCCAGCCGCCGCGGUAACACCGGCAGCUCUAGUGGUAGCAAUUUUUAUUGGGCCUAAAGCGUCCGUAGCCGGUUUAAUAAGUCUCUGGUGAAAUCCUGCAGCUUAACUGUGGGAAUUGCUGGAGAUACUAUUAGACUUGAGACCGGGAGAGGUUAGGGGUACUCCCAGGGUAGAGGUGAAAUUCUGUAAUCCUGGGAGGGCCGCCUGUUGCGAAGGCGUCUAACUGGAACGGUUCUGACGGUGAGGGACGAAAGUUAGGGGCGCGAACCGGAUUAGAUACCCGGGUAGUCCUAACUGUAAACGAUGCGGACUUGGUGUUGGGGUGGCUUUGAGCUGCUCCAGUGCCGAAGGGAAGCUGUUAAGUCCGCCGCCUGGGAAGUACGGUCGCAA
rnacentral:rRNA from 1 species